rnacentral:rRNA from 1 species
GACGAACGCUGGCGGCGUGCUUAACACAUGCAAGUCGAACGGAAAGGCCCUGCUUUUGUGGGGUGCUCGAGUGGCGAACGGGUGAGUAACACGUGAGUAACCUGCCCUUGACUUUGGGAUAACUUCAGGAAACUGGGGCUAAUACCGGAUAGGAGCUCCUGCUGCAUGGUGGGGGUUGGAAAGUUUCGGCGGUUGGGGAUGGACUCGCGGGUUAUCAGCUUGUUGGUGUGGUAGGGGAUGACCAAGGUUUUGACGGGUAGCCGGCCUGAGAGGGUGACCGGCCACAUUGGGCCUGCGAUACGGCCCAGAAUCCUACGGGAGGCAGCAGUGGGGAAUAUUGCACAAUGGGCCGAAGCCUGAUGCAGCAACGCCGCGUGCGGGAUGACGGCCUUCGGGUUGUAAACCGCUGUCGAAUGUGACGAAGCGUGAGUGACGGUAAUGGGUAAAGAAGCCCCGGCUAACUACGUG